rnacentral:lncRNA from 1 species
UUUCAAAAGCUCAUCUCUAGUGUAUGUGGUUGCAUUGCAGAUUGUACACAAAUCAUUUGCUGUAUCAAUAAUACAUUUCCUACUUUAAGGGACACUUCAGCUGUAGUAACUGAAAAUCAGCUCCUUGCAAGCAUAGAUCAGUCCUAGGUUAUCCAGUGGGCAAAACCUGCAAUAUGUCAUCUAGACCAGGCGGUCUUCAGCUGCAGGAAUCACAAGAUAUGCCAAGAGGUCAAAGGAAGGGUAGGCAUAUAGGGUAUCAGUCUGUCUCAUCCUCCUGCCCUCUGUUUGACCACCCUACCCUCGAAGUAAAUGUCACCAAGGUGCUGAUUACACCAACAGGAGCAGAUGGAGGCCGCAAGAAAUGGAGGAAGAAAAUCUCAUCAACAGCGAGCCAGCAAAAGAGCAACAGAUAAACAGAUAUUAGUCAAAGAAGAAAACACACUCCAGCUAUGAACAACAGUACAAGCAUAAAUGGGAAAAAAGUCUAUGCAAUUAUGAAUGAAUAUCUUAAAGAGCUAGAAAGCAGAAAG